GCAGUCGAGCGAGUCUGCCUUGAAGAUCGGAGUGCUUGCACUCUGUGAAACAAGAUACAGGCUAGCGGCGGACGGGUGAGUAACACGUGGGUAACCUGCCCAAGAGAUCGGGAUAACACCUGGAAACAGAUGCUAAUACCGGAUAACAACAGAUGAUGCCUAUCAACUGUUUAAAAGAUGGUUCUGCUAUCACUCUUGGACGGACCUGCGGUGCAUUAGCUAGUUGGUAGGGUAACGGCCUACCAAGGCGAUGAUGCAUAGCCGAGUUGAGAGACUGAUCGGCCACAUUGGGACUGAGACACGGCCCAAACUCCUACGGGAGGCAGCAGUAGGGAAUCUUCCACAAUGGACGCAAGUCUGAUGGAGCAACGCCGCGUGAGUGAAGAAGGGUUUCGGCUCGUAAAGCUCUGUUGUUGGUGAAGAAGGACAGGGGUAGUAACUGACCUUUGUUUGACGGUAAUCAAUUAGAAAGUCACGGCUAACUACGUGCCAGCAGCCGCGGUAAUACGUAGGUGGCAAGCGUUGUCCGGAUUUAUUGGGCGUAAAGCGAGUGCAGGCGGCUCGAUAAGUCUGAUGUGAAAGCCUUCGGCUCAACCGGAGAAUUGCAUCAGAAACUGUCGAGCUUGAGUACAGAAGAGGAGAGUGGAACUCCAUGUGUAGCGGUGAAAUGCGUAGAUAUAUGGAAGAACACCGGUGGCGAAGGCGGCUCUCUGGUCUGUUACUGACGCUGAGGCUCGAAAGCAUGGGUAGCGAACAGGAUUAGAUACCCUGGUAGUCCAUGCCGUANACGAUGAGUGCUAAGUGUUGGGAGGUUUCCGCCUCUCAGUGCUGCAGCUAACGCAUUAAGCACUCCGCCUGGGGAGUACGACCCGCAGGUUGAAACUCAAAGGAAUUGACGGGGGCCCGCACAAGCGGUGGAGCAUGUGGUUUAAUU
rnacentral:rRNA from 1 species